CCCAGACUCCUACGGGAGGCAGCAGUGGGGAAUAUUGCACAAUGGGGGAAACCCUGAUCCAGCGACGCCGCGUGAGUGAAGAAGUAUUUCGGUACGUAAAGCUCUAUCAGCAGGAAAGAAAAUGACGGUACCUGACUAAGAAGCCCCGGCUAACUACGUGCCAGCAGCCGCGGUAAUACGUAGGGGGCAAGCGUUAUCCGGAUUUACUGGGUGUAAAGGGAGCGUAGACGGCAGCGCAAGUCUGGAGUGAAAUGCCGGGGCCCAACCCCGGAACUGCUCUGGAAACUGUGAAGCUGGAGUGCAGGAGAGGUAAGCGGAAUUCCUGGUGUAGCGGUGAAAUGCGUAGAUAUCAGGAGGAACACCGGCGGCGAAGGCGGCUUACUGGACUGUAACUGACGUUGAGGCUCGAAGGCGUGGGGAGCAAACAGGAUUAGAUACCCCCGUAUA
rnacentral:rRNA from 1 species